rnacentral:antisense_RNA from 1 species
AUAUUUAAAAAUCAAUCUGCGCCCCACUCCCGGCUCCGGAGCCAAACUCAACCAUCUCGGGCUGCACAAAGCCAGAGGCGCGCCGGGGGGUUUGCACCGGGAACCGGCACCGAGUGACCCGCCCGCCCCAGCCCGGCCGCGGCGCCUGCUCUGCCUGGAUGUGGCUCGAGCUCCGGGCCGGGCGCGCGGGGCGGGGGCCCUGGAUUAUCCGCGGCGCCUCCCGCCCCAGCGGAGCCGAAAGUUACUCGGAGCCGCUUUCCUCGCGGCCGGCGUCACCUCGGGGCGGGAGCUUUUCUGCCGAGCCGCGGCCCCGCGCGUCCCUCCCGCCGCCCAGACCCGCGCGUCCUUCCCACCUGCUGUGGCCGAAGCGGCUGCCGGGGCGGCCGGGCCGCGCUCCCGGAGACAGACGCGCUGCGCUCCCCCCGCCGGGGACCCGCUCUCCAUUCGCGAGGGCAGCGGCCGAGCUGGGACCGAGUUAUCAACAGAUUGCGGGGCUGCGGCGCCGGCCGGUGAGUCACAGCCCCGCGCACUAGCGGCCCAGCCCGGCCAGCAGCGCCGCCGCCUCUGCGCGCACCUCCCGCGGCGACAGCGGGGACCCGGGGCCGGAGGCAGGCGCGUAACCAUGGGGACCGGGGCGGGCGAUGGCGGCGGGCGGGCUCCUGCCGCAGGGUGGGGAUGGCUCUUCCAGCCGGGCGGCCGCCGUCACACUGCAGAGCGUAUUUAAAGAGACACUUCGCUCCGCGCUCGCUCCCCAGCACCAGACCCUCGCCCGAAAACGCCGCCGGGCGGACUGCACGACCCUGUGUUAUUCCCAAAGGCAAUCUCCAUCCGUGGAGAAGCUGCAGGAACAGAAAUAUGCACAAGAAAAUGGAUUUGGAAGGAAUUUUCCAUCCUUUAUUUAACAUUCUCAAGUCCAGAUAUGCCAGAACCGAGGUGCACCUGUCGUGAACCCGUCUGAGUGUGAGUCAGCAGGGCAGCCGCAGCCGGUGUAGACAGACAGGGCCUGUGGCUGUGCAGAAAGCGUCCCUGUCCCCCUACCCCAACCCUCCUGCAUCCUGGGCCACAGAGCUGGGCAUCCAGAGCCAAGGCGAGUGUGGAGGCCAGGGUGCCAGGGGCGGCGCAGCCCAGCCUCCCACCCGCAGCGAGGUUUGGGCUCCGCACACAUCCCACAGGUCCCUAUCCUGCCCCCAGGGGCCUCCUACCCGACAAGGUGGGUCCAAGUCCACUCCAGUUUUCGUCACAAACUCCGUUUUCUGGGGCACGUGCUGGCCUGGUGGCAGCCUCAGCAAGAGUCUCAGGAACUGCCCUGGGUGACUCCACACCCCUCCACCUGUUCCCCCUUUGGCCCUGGGUGACCCCACACCCCUCCACCUGUUCCCUCCUUGGCCUCCACCCUUGCAUGGCUACUUCUGCCCCAGGUUCUGUGACACUGGCACCUGUUCAGGGGGUCCCCAGGCCCUGCUGCCAUGGAUUUUGAGGGGCCCGAAGGAUGUACUAUUGGGAGGUUGUCAUGAAGACUCACUGAGGCAGAAUUAGAUGCAGGGGUGACAGCGUUCCCCUUCCCCGGCCUCUCAUUAUGGGGCUUUUGAGCGGGAUGUGCUCAGGGCCCCACUGCCCCAUCUAGCUGGUGUUCCCAGAGCCCCUCUGUGGGGACACUGUGCUGGUCCCUGAACUCCAGCUGAGGGACACAGGGUCCAGGCAGGCGACCGUCUAGUUCCCAGCUGGAGACGCUCCAGGCACCCCAGGACCUGGCCGCCCUGACUCCCUGGACACCGUUCCCUUGGAGCCUCGGAGCCCCCCCUGGUGUCCCCUCGGUGAUGGUCCUGGACAAGAGGGCUGGGAAGAGGCAGGCAGCAAGGGGAGGAUUCUGCCCCAGACGUCCCCAGGCCGGGGGUCCCCAUGGGCUCUGCCCUGACGUCUUACUCCUGCACCCAGCGGCUCCCACCACAGAGACUGCUCCAGGUGAGGGUACCACACUGAGCACAGGUCAGCCUGUGUCUCCCGGGAGGCUCCUGGCACAUCACAGUUGGGGCCCAGAGGAGGCCCUGGCCGGUGGUGGGGGGGCCCUGGCUUGUCUCUUUCCCUGCACACGGACUGGAGCCCUGCCCUGAGUCCCAUGGGGACUUUGCGGGGGAACUUCUCGAAGGUGCUGUGGGGGCAGAGGGAGGUGGUGGAGCCAGCCAGGCUCUGGGAGGCCCCAGAGAAGCUCCCACUGCCCACCUCAGUCCUGGCUGGUUUUGGGCCCUGGGCUGGGCCCCCACAGGCUCCAAAGGGAAAGGUUGUCCAAGGGAAAGCCCUGGAGGCCGCUGGUAUCCGGGUAGGACACACAGAAGGCUACCAGGUGCUGUGGGGGCCCUGGGGUCCGGCACUUGAGGCAGACAGGUCCACUGGCUUGCGAAUGUCCUGCUGCCCCCGCACGUGGUGGUCAGGACCCGGGAGGGCUGCCCCUCCCCCCCCCAUUCCACACCUAGUGCUAACCUAGGUGAAGGAGAGAGAGCCCAGGGGGAGCUGGCACUGCCACGUGUUCCAGAGCUGCCCUCGGGCAGAGUCUGUGGGGCUCGGCCUUGUGAGGGGUAGGGGCACCGGGUGUCUCCUGCUCACUCACAGCUGCCCCCCAGGGCCCCUCCCCUGCUGCUCUGCGAGCCCCUCCCUGGAGCUGCCCUUGGAGGGCACCUGCUUCAGGUCUCAUCUCCAGGGUGGUGCUGGGGACCGGGCACUGUCUCCUGAACAGUCCCACAUGGUGGCCUGGGCGGCACGCCUGUGGGAUGGGGAAACCGAGGCACAGACAGUCACGUGCUCUUCCAGUUGCAGGUUAGACCCCACUUGCGGUUGUGUGUUCCAGAAGUCUCCGGGCGCUGUGUGGCAGGAUGAGGAGCUGCCCCCCUGGAGGAUCACGCAGGCCUCUGGGUGGCAUUCAGCAGGUGAGCCGGCGGCCGUCUGCCCCGCAGCCCGGGGAUGUCAGCACUUGCCCUGCCACCAGAGGUCACUGCCCCGGGCCCUGGGCCCCCGGCCCUCUGCUCACUGUUCAUCAGCAAAGCGUCUGCUUUCUGGACUGCAGGGUUGGCUGCGGCACCGGCUGACCACAGGGCCCAACUUUCCAGUCCCAGCCGGAGGGAAGCGUCUCAACCAUGUUGUAGGCACACGGGUGAGGGUGCUGCCUGCCUCCCUGACUCUUACCUCCCCAAGAGAGGAAAAC